rnacentral:rRNA from 1 species
AGAGCGAACGCUGGCGGCAGGCCUAACACAUGCAAGUCGAGCGCCCCGCAAGGGGGAGCGGCAGACGGGAGAGUAACACGUGGGAACGUACCCUUCAGUUCGGAACAACCCAGGGAAACUUGGGCUAAUACCGAAUACGUCCGUAAGGAGAAAGAUUUAUCGCUGAAGGAUCGGCCCGCGUCUGAUUAGCUUGUUGGUGAGGUAACGGCUCACCAAGGCUACGAUCAGUAGCUGGUCUGAGAGGAUGAUCAGCCUCACUGGGACUGAGACACGGCCCAGACUCCUACGGGAGGCAGCAGUGGGGAAUAUUGGACAAUGGGCGCAAGCCUGAUCCAGCCAUGCCGCGUGGAUGAUGAAGGCCUUAGGGUUGUAAAGUCCUUUCGACGGGGAAGAUAAUGACGGUACCCGUAGAAGAAGCCCGGCUAACUUCGUGCCAGCAGCCGC